AUUGAACGCUGGCGGGAUGCUUUACACAUGCAAGUCGAACGAGUGGCGGACGGGUGAGGAAUAUAUCGGAACCUGCUCAGUCGCGGGGGAUAACUACUCGAAAGAGUGGCUAAUACCGCAUACGAUUGGAGGGGCCGAUAUCGGAUUAGCUAGGUGGUGGGGUAAAGGCUCACCAAGGCAACGAUCCGUAGCUGGUUUGAGAGGACGACCAGCCCCACGGGGACUGAGACACGGCCCAGACUCCUACGGGAGGCAGCAGUGGUGAAUUUUGGACAAUGGGGGAAACCCUGAUCCAGCCAUCCCGCGUGUAUGAGAAGGCCUUCGGGUUGUAAAGUACUUUUGUCAGAGAAGCGGUAUCUGCAGAAUAAGCACCGGCUAACUACGUGCCAGCAGCCGCGGUAAUUC
rnacentral:rRNA from 1 species